rnacentral:rRNA from 1 species
CCUACGGGAGGCAGCAGUAAGGAAUAUUGGUCAAUGGACGCAAGUCUGAACCAGCCAUGCCGCGUGGAGGAUGAAGGUCCUCUGGAUUGUAAACUUCUUUUAUUUGGGACGAAACACUUCCUUUCUAGGAAGCUUGACGGUACCAAGUGAAUAAGCACCGGCUAACUCCGUGCCAGCAGCCGCGGUAAUACGGAGGGUGCAAGCGUUAUCCGGAUUCACUGGGUUUAAAGGGUGCGUAGGCGGGCUUGUAAGUCCGUGGUGAAAUCCCAAAGCUUAACUUUGAAACUGCCAUGGAUACUAUAGGUCUUGAAUGUUGUGGAGGUUUGCGGAAUAUGUCAUGUAGCGGUGAAAUGCUUAGAUAUGACAUAGAACACCGAUUGCGAAGGCAGCAGGCUACACAAAUAUUGACGCUGAGGCACGAAAGCGUGGGGAUCAAACAGGAUUAGAUACCCUGGUAGUCCACGCCCUAAACGAUGAUUACUCGACAUUUGUGAUACACAAUAAGUGUCUGAGCGAAAGCAUUAAGUAAUCCACCUGGGAAGUGCGACCGCAAGGUUGAAACUCAAAGGAAUUGACGG